AUGAAGGUCAAGUUGUACAGUUUAAGCGGGUACAAGGUCUACCCUAGACAUGGAAGGCGCUACACCAGGACGGACAGGGAGGUUUUCCAGUUUCUUAACGUAAAGUACACGUCAGCUUUCCUUUCCAAGAGGGACCGUUAGUAGAUAAACCGGAUUGUCCUCUACAGAAGAAAGCACAAAAAGGGACAUUUGGAAGAAAUUCAGAAGAAAAGAAACUGCCAAGCAGUCAGAUUCCAGGGGGCCAUUAGUGAUGCAUCUCUUGCUGAUCUAAUGGCCAAGAGGAAUCAGAAAUUUGAAGUUAAAGAGGCUCAACGAGAACAAGCUCGCAGGGCUGCUAAGGAAGCAAAAUAGGCUAAGCAAGCAUCGAAAAAGAUCCACAAGGGCGUCCCCUAAGCAAAAGAUUGUGAAGCCUGGGAAAGUUUCAGCUCCCCGAGUUGGUGGAAAAAUGCUAA
rnacentral:lncRNA from 1 species